rnacentral:rRNA from 1 species
AGUGAACGCUGGCGGUAGGCCUAACACAUGCAAGUCGAACGGCAGCACAGUAGAGCUUGCUCUUACGGGUGGCGAGUGGCGGACGGGUGAGGAAUACAUCGGAAUCUACUUUUUCGUGGGGGAUAACGUAGGGAAACUUACGCUAAUACCGCAUACGACCUACGGGGGAAAGAGGGGGAUCUUCGGACCUUCCGCGUUUGAAUGACCCGAUGUCGGAUUAGCUAGUUGGCGGGGUAAAGGCCCACCAAGGCGACGAUCCGUAGCUGGUCUGAGAGGAUGAUCAGCCACACUGGAACUGAGACACGGUCCAGACUCCUACGGGAGGCAGCAGUGGGGAAUAUUGGACAAUGGGCGCAAGCCUGAUCCAGCCAUACCGCGUGGGUGAAGAAGGCCUUCGGGUUGUAAAGCCCUUUUGUUGGGAAAGAAAAGCAGCAGGUUAAUACCCCGCUGUUCUGACGGUACCCAAAGAAUAAGCACCGGCUAACUUCGUG